AAACCAUGAUGGGGGCACUGCCUUUAUAAAUCCUUGAACCUUUCCCAAGCUUCAUAUAAGGACUCAUAAUCUCUUUGGUAAAAAGUGGUGAUUUCAUUUCUUAAUUU